AAAGGAUCCAUGUUUAAUAUACGUGAAUUCACAGGGAUUAAUAUUGCAAUUAUUCCCGAUCCUGAAACACUGCAUGGAGACAUGGAUUAAAAUGCAAAGCCAUCUAAAUUUUUGGAAUCAAUUAAAAAAGAACAUAAAACAAAUCAGACGCAGAAGGAAGCGGAUCAGAACGCAGCGCAAAGAAAAGGGAACUGCCGCAUAAAUAAUCCCUUUGAGGCGCAAAGGCGCAAAUCCGGGGCUCCAGGCGGGUAAGCGCGCGGACCUUUCCGCUCCUGUGCGACACCGUUUCGCUUUUAAUGUUAAAACCCUAUUUCCAUUCUUUCCUUCUCAAAGCAGAUGCAAAAAAAAUACAAAACCCUUGCUCUGUGUGGGUUCAUUUCAUCACGCAGCCAUGAACAUCCAUCAGUUUGAUGGCCAGUGGUGCGGAUAAGGUCCAGAUCUAGCCAACAAGGGUUGCGUUUCCAAAAAUCAGGUAACCUCACUCCUUUUUUUUUACAAAAAAAAAUGUGAAUCUUAUACUGUUUUUUUUUAAAACAAAGUGAAAUAAAUUUCACAUAUAUUCAAACAAAACUUUAAUCUCACUCGACCCUCGCCCACAUCUAUGUAUAUCUGAGAUGUUUGGGGCUUUUCAUCGGCGUCGAUUUAGAUUUCUCCCUUUUAUUAUUCGUGCUAAAUCUGCGAAUCAAUCAAAGAAAAUAUAGAAAGGAAAAAAAAAAUUGGGAUUCACCUUUCGAAUUUUUGAGCUAGAUUUUGAAUAUCUAAUGUGCAUGCGUAUAUUGAGUGUAAUGUGUGUGUGUAAAAUUUCUGGAGUACAAAAUGAGGCCUUUUAAUAGCCGAAAUUACAGAAAAAUAGCGAAAAAAUAGUAUAUUUUCUUGCUGUCAUCUGCCCAUUUCUGUUAUUCCAUUUCUUCUCGUGUGUUCUCUUGCAGGAACGGCCGUACAGAGGAGCGACCUUGGUGACGUGGAGACUAAACGUCAAAAAUUUUUACGAGAGGCUGACCUUCUGGUGCCAUUCUGGCUUACUCCAGAAGCUUCUAGCAUUCUCAGGAUGCUGAGACAAAUUUAAUUUUUGGGUAUAUUGGGCCUCUGUUUUUGGGCUAGAUUUAGGACGUGAGUUAAUUUUUAUUGGGCUUUGGAAAUUUAGAAUUUGGGUCAAACAUUAUGUAAUUAGGGCUAAAGAAUUUUGGGGUAUUUGGUUAGAAAAUGGGUUUAUUGGAAUUGGGUUUUAAUUUUAUGUAAAGGGUUUUGGGUUAUUUGUUUAAUUGGGUUAGGUGUUUGUAAAUGGACUUUUUGGACUAUUUAUUUGGGUUUAUUUAUUUGCAAAUAGGCCCGGGCAAAAUUGGUUAACUACAAUAAUAAUAAUAAUAAUAAUAUUAUUAACAUUAACAUUAACUAAUAAUGCGUAAUAAGAUGGAAAUGUAAACAUUAUGAAAGUAAAAUAAGGGCAAAGAAAUAAUAAAUAAAAUAAUAAAAAUGAAAAGUUGAAAUUAAAUAAAUAAAGGAUUCAAUUGGAAUUAAAAUAAAAUUAAGGGCAUAAAUUAUAAAAAUAAGUAAAUAGACUAACGAAGGCUAGAAUGUAACACACUAAAAAAGGUUAGGGAUUGAAUAGAAAAAUAUUCCUAAACAAAGGACUAAGGUGCAACACGCUAAGAAAAAUAAGGGUUGAAAGGGAAAAUAUCUCAGACUUCCUUAUGUGCAUCGUUUGAAGGGACCAAAAUAAAGGAAAUUGAAAUUAAAUGGGAUAAAUUUAAAAAGACAAAAAUAGAAAUAGGAAUGUAUUGAAAAAGGUGUAAAAAGCGGAAGGACCAGAAUGGUAAUUAGACCUUCAUCGCGAAAACAUGCGAAUCCUAAAAUCUCGGGUCUGGGAAUGAGGUUAUUUUUAAAACGAAACCGUUUUGGCGCCUAAAGCUUUG
rnacentral:lncRNA from 1 species